AUGUAUUACAUGCAAAAAAUGUUUAUACAAGACAUUUUCCCCUCAUGGUUAUAUGUGUGUUGCACGUACAUGCCCACGUCCUCGACGGGUAAGAAAAUCAGCGCAAGGAUCAAGUCCCAAACCUAUUUUUCUUUCUUCCGUUCCUUGUCCAUUCUUUGUCCUGAACUGAAUUCCGUCUUGUUCGCUGCAACAGCAAAAUCCAGCUACCGGUGGGGAUAUAGAGGAUGCCAAGAUGGACAACGCAUUGGUAUCGAGUUUGCCGAGCUCGCGAGGACAGACCACGACCUGGUGACCUUUGCCAUUGAGGGCACCGUCUACCUUUGGAGCCCCGUUGAUCUCAUGACCCUCGCCACCGCCACAGCCAACGCCACAGGUGAGCAAACAUGCACGCGGUACCCUUCCCUGCUUAUGUCUGUAUACAUAUAUACGAGGUUGAUUGUUUGUUACCGGUUGAAGAGUGUGAGAUUGCUAAAUGGCGACUGCUCUUACUGGAGCGAUGUUACCCUUCCAGGAGAUAAGAGUGAUACUAUUCUUUGCCGCUAA
rnacentral:rRNA from 1 species